rnacentral:rRNA from 1 species
UACGGGGGGGGCAAGCGUUGUUCGGAAUUACUGGGCGUAAAGGGCGCGCAGGCGGCUAUCCAAGUCAGGCGUGAAAGCCCCGGGCUUAACUUGGGAGGUGCGUCUGGGACUGGGUGGCUAGAGUUCGGGAGAGGAGAGUGGAAUUCCCAGUGUAGAGGUGAAAUUCGUAGAUAUUGGGAAGAACACCGGUGGCGAAGGCGGCUCUCUGGACCGAGACUGACGCUGAGGCGCGAAAGCGUGGGGAGCAAACAGG